CGGCACUCCAGAUGUUUUGGACUACACCUCCCAUGAUGCUUUGCCAGCAUUAUGGGGGAUGUAGUCCACAACAUCUGGAAUGCCG